CUGCUGCCUACCACAGCUGGGUUCAGCUGGUUCGUUUCCUCAGACAGCUGGGGCUUGUUUUCAUGAUGUUCUCAUGGAGUCAUGAGAAAAGAAGCAGAAACACCCAAAGCUGCUUGAAGAUUAGGCUCAGAACAAGUAUGACAUCACCUUCUCUGCACUCUGCUGGCCAAAGCAAUUCCUGAAACCAACACAGAUUCAAGGUGUGGGGAAAUAGGUUCUCUCCUUGACAGGAAAUGUUGCAGGGUCACAUUCAAAAGGACCUGAAUACAGGGGCUGGGGGCGCUGAGGAACGGAGGCCACUAAUACAAUCAAACCAGUUGAUUUUAUCAGCAGAUUGUUUCUCUUACUUUGUACCCUCAAAGCAUUCACCCAGCUAGUAGCUAUUCCCCUCAUAACUUGAAGCUUCUUUUUCCACUCACUGUGACUCUACACAAUGCUAUUUCUGUUGGAUUCUUGGGGCUGUUGAUGUCCACAAACAUCAGUGUUUUCCAUUGGAGUACCAUUGUUAUUUGAGCAGAGAAAAUUCUUCAUUUAUAUGAAACUAUUGCUUGGGUGGCAAGGAAUUUGACUUCCCUGACUCCUGCCCUCUAAAUGCCAAUAACACUUCCCAGUUUGAAAAUGCUCCAACAGGGAGGGAGGCUUCAAAUAAGCAAGUGGAGAGGGCUAGAAUGAUCCAUGUGACAUCAGCA
rnacentral:lncRNA from 1 species